rnacentral:rRNA from 1 species
AACGUAGGCGGUCCGGUAAGUCGGAUGUGAAAGCCCUCGGCUUAACCGAGGAAGUGCAUUCGAAACUGUCGGACUUGAGUAUGGUAGAGGGUCGCGGAAUUCCCGGUGUAGAGGUGAAAUUCGUAGAUAUCGGGAGGAACACCAGUGGCGAAGGCGGCGACCUGGGCCAAUACUGACGCUGAGGUUCGAAAGCGUGAGGAGCAAACA